CUUUGUAGACUUGUACAGAGGGAGCGUAUAGGAUAUGGAACUUUGGUCGAUUUUCUUAUUUAGAGCGUUUCGCACGUGUCAGGAACCUUAACGAUCUCUAAAUAAAUUUUUGUGUGCGUGUGUGUUAAUUAAUCAACUAUUCUCCUAUAGGCGUACUAUAACGUCAUUUAUAUUUGGACUUAUUUUAGUACCAAAUUAAACAAUCUCACAUUCUCACUAAUGCAUUACUCUGUAUAUCUAGAGUACAAACUUUUAGGAAAGACGGUCUAACCGUUAAACCAACUUUUAGAUGAGCUGGACUUCCAAUUUUCGCGGGUCAAUCUAGCGGGUAUGGAUUCAAUUUUCGGGUCCUAUAAAAUCCUAAUUUUCACCAAACUUGAAACCCUAAUUCACUUUCUCUCUCCUCCUGUGUGCUCUCUCUCUCUCCCCCAAGAUCUCUCUACUCUCUCUCCUCAGGAUAUCAUUUGUGCCGACGAGGUUGAAGCAUGGGACGACGGCGACGAAGGAUGGUGACGGCGGCGAUGACGACGAAGGAUGGUGAUCUCGGCGGUCGUCAAACUACCGGAAACUAAUCCCAAUCUCGCAGAUGUGGAUGCAACGACGGAUGCGCUAAGAGUGGUGGUUGUGGCUGGUUCCCGACGCCGAGUAUUUCAUUCGAUUCACCGUCGAUGAGAGGGAGGAAGGAGAAUUUGGUGCUACCGCGCGUUGGUGUUGGUUUUGUUGAACCUUCGGUGGUGGCGGAUGGUUGUGAGUUGUUGUUGGUGUUGUGGCGAGAUGUCGAGUAGAGUAACUGGUGCUUACUGCUCCAGUUCAUGCUUUACAAGCCUCUAAUAUGAUUUUGGAUUUGUAUUGUAAAUGUAAACUAAUUUUGUUUUGUGUUAUUUAUUUUAGUAAUGUUUAAAUUAGUUAUAGUUAAGAAUUAUUCUAUUUUAGUUAUACUUUUGGUAUAUUUAGUUAUGAAAUAAAAUGAUUUAGUUACGUUGUUUUUUCA